rnacentral:rRNA from 1 species
GACGUAGGGCGCGAGCGUUGUCCGGAUUUAUUGGGCGUAAAGAGCUCGUAGGCGGCUUGUCGCGUCGGCUGUGAAAUCCCGUGGCUCAACUGCGGGUCUGCAGCCGAUACGGGCAGGCUAGAGUUCGGUAGGGGAGACUGGAAUUCCUGGUGUAGCGGUGAAAUGCGCAGAUAUCAGGAGGAACACCGAUGGCGAAGGCAGGUCUCUGGGCUGUAACUGACGCUGAGGAGCGAAAGCAUGGGGAGCGAACAGG